rnacentral:tmRNA from 1 species
GGGGACGUAAUGGUCUCGACAUUGGUCGUUUCGCCAGUGGUGCACUCCGGAGGCUCGGCUCCGUCAUCAACGGAACACAGUUUAUUAACUGCAAACAAUAACGAAACAUCCUACGCUCUGGCUGCCUAAGCAACCUUAGCGUGAUCCUCCCGUUAUCGCUCAAGUAGCGGAUCUGGGUCUCAAAUCAUUGAGCUACGGCUAGCUUCUCCCACCUGAAGAGCUAGCAAGAGACCAUCAGGUUAGCUCCAGGCGGUUAGCCCUGCGCGUCGGCGCGCGCCUGAAGUGAACUUCUAAGUAGGCGCACUAUGAGUGUAGAGCUGCUGGUAGAAAGGCUGAUGGACACGGGUUCGAUUCCCGUCGUCUCCAU